GUUAGAGUUACCAAGCUCUAGAUCUUUUUUGACAACAGAAAAAAUUAAUGGUCCUCCGGUGUCAAACGCCCUCAUUUGGGAAAUGCUCCAGACAAUAAGACAAGACUUAAGGGAAGAGCUGAGGAAGGACUUGACAUUCAUUAAUAAUAAAUUGACUGUUUUGGAAACAAAAUCGGAACAGAUAGAAUGCACUCUCUUAAAACACACAGACAUUCCAGAUGAUAUCAUAGAGAAAAUGAAAGAGAUGGAAAUAUAUUUCAAAGCAAAAAAACACAAAUUGGAUCUAAAGAUGGCGGACUUGGAAGAUUGCAGUAGGAGAAACAAUUUACGGAUUAG